GUUUGGCUGUGUUGUGCAAUUUGUAUGUGUAGUUAAACAUUUAUAUUGACGUUUAGUUGGAGUUUAUUGAGCUUACAAUCUAUUGCUGGCCAUUAAGAAUGCUAGAGAAAGGGAUCGGAGGACUCUCCUACGCACUUAUUUUUCAGGAAAUAAAAUGUAAUUAUGCAAGUGAUGAGCAAUUUCCAGAUCCAAAAGUGCUAAAAUGAAGCUUGGACAUUGAAGAUUGUGAAGCUGCCGAAAUCCGCAUAAUUUGCUACACAACCUGUGCAGUUUUUGCAUAAGAAUUAGAAGAUAUUGAAUAUCUGCUGAAAAGUGCAUAACUUGCUGCACAACUUAUGCAG
rnacentral:misc_RNA from 1 species